rnacentral:rRNA from 1 species
GUGGGGAAUAUUGGACAAUGGGGGGAACCCUGAUCCAGCCAUGCCGCGUGUGUGAAGAAGGCCUUUUGGUUGUAAAGCACUUUAAGCGAGGAGGAGGCUACUCUAGUUAAUACCUAGGGAUAGUGGACGUUACUCGCAGAAUAAGCACCGGCUAACUCUGUGCCAGCAGCCGCGGUAAUACAGAGGGUGCAAGCGUUAAUCGGAUUUACUGGGCGUAAAGCGCGCGUAGGUGGCCAAUUAAGUCAAAUGUGAAAUCCCCGAGCUUAACUUGGGAAUUGCAUUAGAUAGUGGUUGGCUAGAGUAUGAGAGAGGAUGGUAGAAUUACAGGUGUAGCGGUGAAAUGCGUAGAGGUCUGGAGGAAUACCGAUGGCGAAGGCAGCCAUCUGGCCUAAUACUGACACUGAGGUGCGAAAGCAUGGGGAGCAAACAGGAUUAGAAACCCGGGUAGUCC